UACGUAGGUGGCAAGCGUUGUCCGGAUUUAUUGGGUUUAAAGGGUGCGUAGGCGGUUCCAUAAGUCAGUGGUGAAAUACGGCAGCUCAACUGUCGGGGUGCCAUUGAUACUGCGGAACUUGAGUACUGAUGAGGUAGGCGGAAUUGACGGUGUAGCGGUGAAAUGCGUAGAGAUCGGAAAGAACACCAACGGCGAAAGCACUCCGCUGGGCCGACACUGACACUGAGAGACGAAAGCUAGGGGAGCGAAUGGG
rnacentral:rRNA from 1 species